rnacentral:rRNA from 1 species
GCAGUCGAGCGGAUGAAGGGAGCUUGCUCCUGGAUUCAGCGGCGGACGGGUGAGUAAUGCCUAGGAAUCUGCCUGGUAGUGGGGGAUAACGUUCCGAAAGGAACGCUAAUACCGCGUACGUCCUACGGGAGAAAGCAGGGGACCUUCGGGCCUUGCGCUAUCAGAUGAGCCUAGGUCGGAUUAGCUAGUUGGUGAGGUAAUGGCUCACCAAGGCGACGAUCCGUAACUGGUCUGAGAGGAUGAUCAGUCACACUGGAACUGAGACACGGUCCAGACUCCUACGGGAGGCAGCAGUGGGGAAUAUUGGACAAUGGGCGAAAGCCUGAUCCAGCCAUGCCGCGUGUGUGAAGAAGGUCUUCGGAUUGUAAAGCACUUUAAGUUGGGAGGAAGGGCUGUAGGCUAAUAUCCUGCGGUUUUGACGUUACCAACAGAAUAAGCACCGGCUAACUUCGUGCCAGCAGCCGCGGUAAUACGAAGGGUGCAAGCGUUAAUCGGAAUUACUGGGCGUAAAGCGCGCGUAGGUGGUUCGUUAAGUUGGAUGUGAAAGCCCCGGGCUCAACCUGGGAACUGCAUCCAAAACUGGCGAGCUAGAGUACGGUAGAGGGUAGUGGAAUUUCCUGUGUAGCGGUGAAAUGCGUAGAUAUAGGAAGGAACACCAGUGGCGAAGGCGACUACCUGGACUGAUACUGACACUGAGGUGCGAAAGCGUGGGGAGCAAACAGGAUUAGAUACCCUGGUAGUCCACGCCGUAAACGAUGUCAACUAGCCGUUGGAAUCCUUGAGAUUUUAGUGGCGCAGCUAACGCAUUAAGUUGACCGCCUGGGGAGUACGGCCGCAAGGUUAAAACUCAAAUGAAUUGACGGGGGCCCGCACAAGCGGUGGAGCAUGUGNUUUAAUUCAANGCAACGCGAAGAACCUUACCUGGCCUUGACAUGCUGAGAACUUUCCAGAGAUGGAUUGGGUGCCUUCGGGAACUCAAACACAGGUGCUGCAUGG